AGUUUAAAACAAGCAUAAAUCUUUCCAGCUGUUCUUGAAAAAAUACAUGAUACAACAUUUAUAUUUCAGUGGAUGUAUACUGUGAUGUUUUUAUAGCAAAUAAUAAUAAUAAUAAUAAUAAUAAUAAUAAUAAUAGUUGAAGUGUAGCUGUAAUUGUCUUCUCAGGUGUUUCUCCUCCAGUCUCUCUGAUCGUCAGUCCCAGCAGAACUCAACACUUCACAUACGUCUCUCUCUCUCUGAGCUGUGAGGACCAGAACAUACAGAGACGGUGGGCAUCUGGAAGAUUGUUCAUCAGUGUGGGGAUCACAAACAGGAUCUAUGUGUACAAUCAGAUCCACCAUCCCAGAGGACACUGGAGUGUACUGGUGUGAGUCUGAAUCUGGAGAGAACAGUCCUCCUGUUAAUAUCACUGUACACCGUGGAAGAUCUCAGUCUGCCUCUCGUGUGAGUCAACAGCAGAAGAGCAGUCAGACAUCAGAGCAGAACCAGAGUGAAGCAGGACAUAAAACACUCAUGUCUGGAACUGCUCAUAUUUAUGACUCUCUUGAUGCCACAAUUAAUAAAGACAUAAGCACAGGUAAUGUAGACAUUGUAAGUGGACCUUCUGAACUCACCUAUGCUGAGAUUGAGCUCAAAUCUACAGAGAAACAGAAGAAAAAGAAAGAAAACAAAGGUAAUAGCAGUGAAAGUUCAGACACUGUGUACUCUCAGCUGAAUCUGGAAACUCAUCGAGGUGAGUGUCAAAGUAAAAACAUCAAACACAGUUCAAAAGGAGCCACUAACAACUGCAUACAAGCAUCGUUGAUGAAAUAUGAAAAAAUUCUAAUGUAUAUUUAAUGCAUUUUUAAUUAAUUUACACAUUGGAAAAAACUGAUGAUCUUUUAGUACUGCACAGUGUUUAUUUUUAUUGGCUGAUACCAGCAGAGGCAGCAGCUCAUCGUUUGACUGUUGAUUGAGAGCAGGUUUCCUUUUUUGUGUGUCUUCUUGAUUUUAAAUGUAUUUACAGCAUAGUCAUGAACAACCUGGAAAUACCUGCCAAUUUUAAAAUGAUGACUUCCAGGUCUGGAAGAGUUGUCUUACAAAUAAAUGUAUAUGAUGAAUAUAAUUUUUUUUGAAG
ensembl:lncRNA